CAAUAGCGUAUAUUGAAGUUGUUGCAGUUAAAAAGCUCGUAGUUGGAUAUCUGACCUUGCAUAGACGGCCCGCCCUUGUGGUUGUGUGCUGGAGUGCUGGUCUCUUUUUCGGUUGAUGGCGAUGCAGUUUACCCUGCGUCGUGGUUAUCCGGAUCGUUUACUUUGAAAAAAUUGGAGUGUUCAAAGCAGGCUUAUGCCGUGAACAGUUUAGCAUGGAAUAAUACUAUAGGACAGUCGUGUCUUAUUUUGUUGGUUCUAAGACCGUUGUAAUGAUUGAUAGGGACAGUUGGGGGUGCUGCUAUUCCGCGGCCAGAGGUGAAAUUCUCAGAUUCCCGGAAGAGCAACUUAUGCGAAAGCAUUCACCAAGGAUGUCUUCUCUGA
rnacentral:rRNA from 1 species